rnacentral:rRNA from 1 species
UACGUAGGGUGCGAGCGUUAAUCGGAAUUACUGGGCGUAAAGGGCGCGUAGGCGGCCUUCUAAGUCGAACGUGAAAUCCCCGGGCUCAACCCGGGAACUGCGUCCGAUACUGGGAGGCUUGAAUCCGGGAGAGGGAUGUGGAAUUCCAGGUGUAGCGGUGAAAUGCGUAGAUAUCUGGAGGAACACCGGUGGCGAAGGCGGCAUCCUGGACCGGUAUUGACGCUGAGGCGCGAAAGCCAGGGGAGCAAACGGG